AUUGAACGCUGGCGGCAGGCCUAACACAUGCAAGUCGAGCGAGCGGCGGACGGGUGAGUAAUGUCUGGGAAACUGCCUGAUGGAGGGGGAUAACUACUGGAAACGGUAGCUAAUACCGCAUACCAUCAGAUGUGCCCAGAUGGGAUUAGCUAGUAGGUGGGGUAAUGGCUCACCUAUUCGACGAUCCCUACCUGGUCUGAGAGGAUGACCAGCCAGACGGGACCUGAGACACGGUCCAGUGUCCUACGGGAGGCAGCAGUGGGGAAUCUUGCACAAUGGGCGCAAGCCUGAUGCAGCCAUGCCGCGUGUGUGAAGAAGGCCUUCGGGUUGUAAAGCACUUUCAGCGGGGAGGCGUUACCCGCAGAAGAAGCACCGGCUAACUCCGUGCCAGCAGCGGCGGUAAUUC
rnacentral:rRNA from 1 species